GUUUUUUGUCCAUGAAUUUACAAGUUUUGAACAGCGGUAAACUGCUGUUGCCUUUAUUAAACGCAUUCGAUGGAAAACAUCCACAUACAGACUUUCAGGUGCAGACGGUUGCAGGUGCGGGAAAUCAUUGGACCUAAAAGGAACGUCAAGGAUGCAUUCGAAACUCGCAAUCGGGAGGAUAAACAGUGUUAACAGAUUGUGGACGGACAGACGGACGUACGAACUGAAAACUAUUGGGUUCCAAA